GGCACACUGUGUUCUGUCAGCAGACCACAGACAAGGCUCCGAAAAUAAUCAGAGGGGCCAUCUGAACUUUUUGAGACCUGCAGCCUAAAGAGGGAUUCAGAUUGGGCUGACCCAGGUGGAGGUCUCCUCAGCUCACAGACGAAGACAAAUCAAUGAGGGGUGUAGUGAAACGCAGACAGCAAACCCCACUGGGAAGACCUUUGGAUGCAGAGCCAUAGUCAGAAAAGGGAUGUGAAUGUAGAUGAGAAUACACAUGGCGGGAAGGCUGCAAGGACUAACAUGAGCAUGAGAGAAGCCGAUCUAAGUCAGCAGUUCUCUGCACUGAACGCCAGAAUGUUGCCAGGGAGGAUAGGGUGGCUGUUCUUAAAUCCAACAACUGCUCCAGUGUGGAAGAACAAGAAGAGAAGAUGGGAAAUGGCCAGUCUCCUGCACAACUGAGGGAAAUUGCGAGCCCCAUGAUGCUGAGAAAGGAGUCUGUGCUCACUUUACAAUGAGGUGCUCACAUCCUUUUUGGUCUCCGGAUUUACAUUGUGUGGAUCAUGAUGCCAUUGUGUCUGCUAGUGAGACCCACUGUGAGACAGCACACAGGAACAUCCGGUACAGUCAGCCAGAUCUUGCUGCUAGGGCGACAGCCUUAAGAGUUUUGCCCAGUGUCGAUCCAGAAGGAA